rnacentral:guide_RNA from 1 species
AUAUAUAAAACAUAUCUUAUUCUGUCUGAUUUAUAGUGCGAUGAAUUUAGU